UUUGAGCUUAUAAGAUGCCAUAGGAACUGAAUCUCACAGGUGUUGAACUGAAAAACUAAAAGUGUAAUGCUAUUUUUUUACUUAUUAUGUAGGUUAAACGCAAGGAUCACUCUACUGGUUGAUUUUUCAAUUGGCUGUUGUAGUGCAAGUUCGGUUUUGUUGGAAAGUUGUACGAUGAUGGAUGAAUGUUAAACGAGGUUUGAGAUCGAGUAGGCUAAAAAAAAAAUCAUCGCAGAAGGAACCGUGUCAGCUUGAUGAUGGAUAGCCUUUUUCUUACCGAGUCUAUAUUUCUGGAGAUGGCUUGCAACAUAUUCCUUGGUAAUUCCAUCAACAUUCAUCAAAGUAACAUUUUUUCUUGGAACAGCCUCGUGUAAAGCCAAGUAAAUGAACAGCAAGGAGUAACUUUACAUGAAGGUGAGGAGACCAUACCACACGAGGUUUCUUAUUAUGUGACAAAGAGACAUUGUCAUCAUCAUCUUGCACUUUCUUCCUUUUGCCCAUUCUGUUAAUCAUCGAAGCCAUCUUAAUAGACAAUUGAAGUGAAAGUGUAAAAUAUACUAAUAUAUAGACAACUUUGGGUGAAAGUGCGAUUGUGUUAUUAAAUUUGUAUUGAAUGUAAAAUGAAAUGGUAUUUUGGAUUAAUGAAAAAUCAUGGAAUUAGAAUGUGUAUUAAA